CUAGUAUUGACUGGAUCUCUUCCUUGACUCCCUUCAGCUGAUGGGUGAUGUUGGCACAGACGGUUCCAGAAGGCUUUAGUCACAUGUCCAGAGCUUUGAUUACUUAAAAUUCGUGUGGUUGGUGAAAUGAACCAAGUCACUGCAAACAGAAGUCUUACUAGGAAAGUCCACAUUGGAUCAGGGGUUUAUGAGGUCCUUUCAAGCUCUGACAUUGAUUUCUGCAACUGGGCGUUAACUGGGCCUGGGCCUUAGAAGAGUUAAGUUGAACUGCCAAAGGCCAGUCGGUGAAAGUAGCAAGGCUAGGAUUUGAACCCAGGACAGUGUGCUUUCAGCACUGCAAUGGCUGGAGACUGUAAGAUGACAAAUAUGGAGACUUUUCAACCACGGAGGAAGACAGAACGCCGUAGCUGAAUGAAAAGGAGAUUAAAGCAAUAAGGAAAGUAGCUUUCUGCCCCUUGACAGAAGACGUGUGUCCUAUAGAGAAGCUUCUCAG